GCAGCAAGCAAGUUUAAGUCCUAGACACUAAGACCAUCAGGUUGAAACCUAACCAACAUGGCGGUAGUUUAAAUAUUCAGGGGAACUUACUAAAUAAUUGAUAACCACCAAGAAAAUUCACGUUAUUUCAAAUUUUACAUACCGUCGUCGGCAGAUCUGCUACAAUAGUACAUCUAACAAUAUAGAUAAAAGGACAGAUCAAGGUGUAGACAAUAAGAACGUUUCAGCGAGUUACUAUAAGCUUUAACUUCAAAUGACAAUUAUAAUAUUACUAAUUUGCAGGACUUGAAAGUAAUAUAUAUUAGGAAUAUUUUAUGAAUAACACUUUAACUGUGCACAA
rnacentral:rRNA from 1 species